rnacentral:misc_RNA from 1 species
GGGGGUCCUAGGCACCAUCACAAAAUUUGCAAAACUAUCAAAAAGGUGGAAAUAGACAGUCAAAAUUAGAAGUGGGAAAGGAAGAACAAUUAAAUAUAAAAUAAUGCAGGCUUGGUUGAUAAAAUUGCCAUAUUUUGAUGUAGAAAUAAUGCAACCCAAAUUUCUCAGGUACCUAAAUUCUGGACGAUUUUUAAAACGGAUGAAUACGUUCCAAAGGCUGCUGCUAUAAGCCCUAUUAUCAUUAUUAUGCCACACACUAUUCCCUGUAAACGUGUUACUUUCCCUUUGAGGAUGCUCAGGAAACAGGCACAAGGAAGAAUUAAACUAAUGAACAUGGUCAGAAGUGAUCCGAUGAGCGACAUAAUCAAACCAAAGAAAGGAAUGCCAAGACCCACAAGCAAGGUAGAGAUGACAAGAGCAGUUCUAAUAAGGAUUGAGAAUAUUAAAAACUGGGGAUGAUUUGAAGGUAUUAGCUCCUCCAGACUCAUUGCAAUUGGAGUCAACGUCAAUGCAUACUUGGUAAAUGGGUUAACCACCGUAGUCCAGACCGCGAUCUUUGAUGCAACCAAGUUCUUCGGCAAGUUGAGAGUGAACUGCGACAUCGUCGAUUCUCCAAACAUUGAAUAUCCCAUAAACGCAACUCCCGCAUACAUCAAGGUACAAACAAUGAAACAUGUUAAGAGGACUGAAGGAUAUUGACUUGGUUUUGCCAUUGAACUAUAAAUAUUGGGGAAAACAGCGUGUCCAGAAUAGCAGAAGCCAUAAAGACCAACAGCAAUAGGAAGGGUUGCAGGAUUCAGUAAAGUUGUCGUCUCCUUCCCUUGGAAACCGACACCAUCUACCAACCCAAUCCAGAACAAGCAUAGGACCACCAAUAUUGAUGCGAUAACUCCACCAGCAGAGAUGUAGCUAAGAACGGAUAAGUCCCGGAGAUAAACAGUAGGAAGAACAGCAAUAGCAGUCAUCAAAGCAAAUAAAAGAUGUGCAUUUAACUCAUAUCCGCCCACAUUUAAAUGGGCAUUUGGAAAUAGAGAAGACAAGUUGUCGCUCUCCAAGAUUAUGUACUCAAUACAAGCAGCGUAUAAUUCCAGGUACAAUAUUAUCGAGAUGGCGAUUCGACCGGUGGUGCCGAAGGCUGCCUGGCCAAUGUCUGGGUAAGUAUCGAGCUCGGGUCUACUUUCCAUGCAGUCACGAAGGAGGAGUCCAGUGUAGUAACAGAGCACAGCAAAUAUUAGCAAAACGGAAAGUCCAAUCCAUCCUCCCUCUUUCGCUGCAUAAGGCGUCGUUAGUAUUCCAACCCCACAUAGCACAUUUCCUCCAUUCAGCAUAGCCUGACUGAAUGUACUUCGACGAGCAGCGGGAAACUCGUGUGGGACUUUGGAAGGUUUGUCAUCCUUUUUUAUGGUUGAUGGCCUCC